rnacentral:rRNA from 1 species
AUGCAAGCGGUGGCAGCCCAACCCGUUGUUGUGGUGGUUGACCCAAACGCCUUCAGGCGCUAUGGAGGAGGCGUCUUUGUGGGUCCAUGUGGUACGGAUCAGACCCACUCAAUGUUGGUGGUGGGGUACGGCACCACCGAUGACCAUGACCCUAAGAGACGCAUAGAUUACUGGAUCAUAAAGAACUCAUGGGGGGCAAAAUGGGGUGAAAAUGGUUACAUCCGCAUGGCACGUGGAGCCGGUCCUUCCAAGGAGGGCCUAUGUGGCAUCCUGAUGCAAGCGUUUUACCCAGUGAAAAAUUAG